GACUGCAAUGGAGAGCCACAGAAUGAUCAAGUCUUCUCUGAGGACAAGGAGAGGAGUCGCCUACCUGAGAGCAUUGGAGAGGGAAUGCAGUGGAUCACUCCUGGCCUGUGUGACCAGCUGUGUGCCAUUGGAAGAAACACAUGAUCGGGACAGUGGGAUCUACCCAGGCCCAGUAACAGGCACAGGGCAGCUGUGUGACCCCAGCCUUUCUCUCACACCAAGGAAAUCCUGGAGAGGGACAGCCCCUGGAAAAUGGUCACAGCACCUGUUGUAAGCUACAUAAACUCUAAACUCAGCAAUAGAGUUGGCUUCAAAAACAAUUCCUGAAGUAGAAGUUUCUAGUUUCUUUGGAAACUCAGUUGUGUCAUGUGAAUAUGUUUUUUGUUUUGGUCCCAAGUGUGGGAUGUGAGCAUGCUUUUCCUCUCAGAAAUGUGUGAAAGGCACCUGAUGUUUGUAAGCUGGAAACCACCUCACUCGACGGGAAUGGUUUUUGCUAGCUGGAAAAUAUCCUUGUGUGGACUCUGAGACGGGAAUGGUUUUUGCUAGCUGGAAAAUAUCCUUGUGUGGACUCUGAGAAGGGAUAAAUAGAAGCCCACAGACAGUGAGACAACACUUUUUGCAUCUCUACACUUUGCAAUGGUUGACAUCACUUUGCUGGUUUUCACAACGAGAAACUCUUCAGAGAACUUUUCUUGCUGCUUCAUGACAUUUGGGCAGUCUUGACUCUUCCGCAGAGAGACCACCACUGCUGCUGCUGUUGUUUGAUAUUUGCUGCUGCUCUGGUUUGCUGCUUUGCCGUUUGGCUGGACUGCUGGUAUUCUGACUACUGAAAUUGGUGUAUCCCUAAAGAAUCCUAAUCAGCAGGAGGUAGCUAAAAGGAGUCUACAGCCCCUUUCCCUAUUAAUCUCCUACCUAAGGUGGGGGGUUGGAAAAGAGGUAGAGGCAUUUAAGAACCUUAAACUAGGUGUUUUAAUUUUAAUUAAUUAUUAACUAAUUACAAUUUAUUCACUUUGUAUCCCAGCUGUAGCCCCCUCUCUCAUCUCCUCCCAAUCCCACCCUCCCUUUUCUCCUUCCAUGCCCCUCCCCCUCCACUGAUAGGGGAGGUCCUCCUCCUCUUCCAUCUGACCCUAGCCUAUCAGGUCUCAUCAGGCUGGCUGCAUUGUCUUCCUCUGUGGCCUGGAAAGGCUGCUCCCCCCUCAGGGGGAUUCAAAUCAGAAAGUAAGAAGUCAAAGUAUCACUAUUUGCAGAUAAUAUGCUAGUAUUACAUAGGUGACCCCCAAAAUUCUACCAAAAAACUCCUUCAGCUGAUAAACACCUUCAUCAAAGUGGCUGGGUACAGAUUUAACUAAAAAAAAAAAAAGAAAGAAAAAAAAAUCAGUAGCCCUCCUGUAUACAAAAGACAAAAGGGCCGAGAAAGAAAUUAGGGAAACAACACCCUUCACAGUAGCCACAAAGGAUAUAAAAGUACCUUGAUGUAACUCUAAUCAAGCAAGUCAAAGACUUGUAUGAAAAAAACUUCAAGUCUCUGGAGAAAGAAAUAGAAGAAGAUAUCAGAAGAUGGAAAGAUCUCCCAUGCUCAUGGUCAGUAGGAUUAACACAGUGAAAAUGGCCAUCUUACCAAAAGCAAUCUACAGAUUCAAUGCAAUUCCCAUCAAAUUACCAACACAAUUCUCUACAGACCUGGAAAGAAAAAUUCUCAACUUCAUAUGGAAUAACAAGAAAUCCAGAAUAGCUAAAACAAUCCUCUACAAUGAAAAAUCUUCAGGAGGUAUCUCCAUUUGUGAUCUCAAGCUGUACUAUAAAGCAACAGUAAUAAAAACUGCAUGGUACUGGCAUAGAAACAGAAUGGUGGAUCAAUGGAACCGAACAGAGGACCCAGAAAUAAACCCACACACUUAUGGACACCUGAUUUUUGACAAAGAUACCAAAACCAUACAAUGGAAAAGAUAUAGCAUCUUCAAAAAAGGGUGCUGGUUUAACUGGAUGUCUACAUGUAGAAAAAAUGCAAAUAGAGCCAUACUUACCACCCUGCACAAAACUAAAGUCCAAGUGGAUUAAAGACCUCAACAUAAAAGCAGACACACUAAAGUUGUUAGAAGAAAAAGUGGGGAAGAACUCACUGGCACAGGAGACAACUUCCUGAACAGAACACCAACAGCACAGGCUCUAAGAUCAACAAUCAAUAAAUGUGAGCUCUUUCACAUACCAGAUGCCAGUCCCAGCUCUCAGCACUGACGCGCUGGGAACCAAAUUCCGAGCGAUUGAAUUUGUUAGGGAGCAUCAGAGUGGAACAUCGUAAGUAUGGAUGCAGGUUAUUCUGGUUUUUACUUUAUACACACUGAGAAACUGCUGAGUUUUACAAAAGGAAAAAGUAGAACUAACAAUGUUUUUAAGGACUUGUCCUUUGAGCAACAGCAUCUGCUAGGUGACUCUGAGCCAGGGAGGGAAAGAACCCAUUUAAUCCAUCUCAAUAUUGUUUUUUUGUUUUGUUUUGUUUUUUUCUUUUCAAAUCAAAACUAAGGGGCUAGAGAGAUGACUCAGUUUUCAAGAGCACUUGCUGCCCUUCUGGAGGAUCCGAGUUUGUCUCCCAGCACCCACAAUGUUCAGCUCCCAGUCAACUCUAUCAACAGGGGAAUCUGAUGCUCUCUGUUGACCAUAAGCAAGAAUAUGCACAAACCGGCACACAGACAUCCACACAUGCACAUAAAUUAAAAAUUAUACACAUAAAUCUCGGUUGUUAACUUACUCCUCUAAAUCUUGACAUUUAAAGGGCUGGCUCUGUUUACUAAAAAGAACAAAAGCUUUCCUGUAAUGUUGGGACGCCACUUAAGUUUCAAGAUCUGUUGGCUUGUCACAUUUACAGCAUGAAUCACUGUGAAAGGGUAAAAAUUUACUAAAGGGCUGGAGAGAUGGCUCAGUUGGUAAGAGCAGCGUCUGCUUUUCCAGAGACCCUGAGUUCAAUUCCCAGCAACCCCAUGGUGGCUCACAACCAUCUAUGCUGGAAUCUGAUGCCCUCUUCUGGCUUGC